UUGUAUAUUCAUUUAAUUCCAGAAUUCACCAACAGAUUUUUAAUUUUAUUUUUGCAGAUGCAGCUGAGAGGAUAUUUCAGUCAUAGACCUUGGAUAGACUCCGUUGUAGCAGACUAGGAAGGGUAGCAUAUAGUUUCCGCAACGCUAUACAAUAGUAACAAGAUCAUUCUACUCUGAGAUUGUUAAAGGGCCUGUUUGAUGGAAGUGACACCAACGUUCUCAAAAACAUUACUAAUAUAUAAAAUUUGUUUUUGUUGUAGAUGGCAGC
rnacentral:lncRNA from 1 species